rnacentral:rRNA from 1 species
UACGUAGGGUGCGAGCGUUGUCCGGAAUUAUUGGGCGUAAAGAGCUCGUAGGCGGUGUGUCACGUCGUUCGUGAAAACCUGCAGCUUAACUGUGGGCGUGCGGUCGAUACGGGCAUCACUGGAGUUCGGCAGGGGAGACUGGAAUUCCUGGUGUAGCGGUGAAAUGCGCAGAUAUCAGGAGGAACACCGGUGGCGAAGGCGGCCAACUGGACAGAUACUGACGCUGAGACACGAAAGCGUGGGGAGCAAACAGG